rnacentral:misc_RNA from 1 species
GAUCUUCUUCAUUUUCGUCAUCUGCAUGGGCUACAGAGACGGUGCCAAAGAUGCUGUUUGCUCUUUUCUUGGCGGCCUGAGUCUUGCGUAAAGUGGCUUCCCAUGCCUUUAUAACUCCGCUUUGUUCUUUGCUCAUCUUUUUUUCUUUUCUUCCGUGAUAUGGAGUCGAUUUUUUUCACCUUCACAUGCUAUUGUAGGAUAAAAGUGAUUGAUAAAUGCAUGAGCUCUUGGAUUUGGGAUUCGUUUGGAGAGAAAUCAUGAACAGCUUAGAUGAGGAAAAUGUGUUUGUUACCAGAA